rnacentral:sRNA from 1 species
UAGAAAGUCUAGGUGUACACGGUAAAAGG